UUCUUAAAGAAGCCUUAUUUUAAGUACAACCUGCUCCAUGAAAAAUAAAUAGCCGCAGAAAAUUUACUGUGCUAAGGUAGCAUAAUCAUUAGUCUUUUAAUUAAAGACUAGAAUGAAAGGUUUAACAUUUCAGUUACUUUUUUUAUAUAUUUAAUAAAAAUUAUACUAGGUAUAAAAAUAUACCUAUACCCUAGACAGACGACAAGACCCUAUCAAACUUUACUUAAGUUUAGCUGGGGCAGCUAACUAAUACUCACUUUGGUUAAUACUUUAUACCCCUCAAACCCAACAAAGUUGCAAUAAACCAAGUUACUGUAGGGAUAACAGCGCAAUUUUAUUUUUAAGUUCUUAUUUAAAAUAAAGAUUACGACCUCGAUGUUGAAUUAAUUUAACCUAUUUACGCAAUAGUAAAAAAAGUAAGUCUGUUCGACUUUUAAAAAAUUACA
rnacentral:rRNA from 1 species